AUACGUAGGUGGCACGCGUUGUCCGGAAUUAUUGGGCGUAAAGCGCGCGCAGGUGGUUCCUUAAGUCUGAUGUGAAAGCCCCCGGCUCAACCGGGGAGGGUCAUUGGAAACUGGGGAACUUGAGUGCAGAAGAGGAUAGUGGAAUUCCAAGUGUAGCGGUGAAAUGCGUAGAGAUUUGGAGGAACACCAGUGGCGAAGGCGGCUGGCUGGUCUGAAACUGACACUGAGGCGCGAAAGCGUGGGGAGCAAACAGGAUCAGAUCCCCUGGUAGUCCACGCCGUAAACGAUGAGUGCUAAGUGUUGGGGGGUUUCCGCCCCUCAGUGCUGCAGCUAACGCAUUAAGCACUCCGCCUGGGGAGUACGGUCGCAAGACUGAAACUCAAAUGAAUUGACGGGG
rnacentral:rRNA from 1 species